rnacentral:rRNA from 1 species
GGGUGAUCUGCCCUGCACUUUGGGAUAAGCCUGGGAAACUGGGUCUAAUACCGAAUAGGACCGCGCUCUUCAUGGGGUGUGGUGGAAAGCUUUUGCGGUGUGGGAUGGGCCCGCGGCCUAUCAGCUUGUUGGUGGGGUAAUGGCCUACCAAGGCGACGACGGGUAGCCGGCCUGAGAGGGUGACCGGCCACACUGGGACUGAGAUACGGCCCAGACUCCUACGGGAGGCAGCAGUGGGGAAUAUUGCACAAUGGGCGCAAGCCUGAUGCAGCGACGCCGCGUGAGGGAUGACGGCCUUCGGGUUGUAAACCUCUUUCAGUACCGACGAAGCGCAAGUGACGGUAGGUACAGAAGAAGGACCGGCCAACUACGUGCCAGCAGCCGCGGUAAUACGUAGGGUCCGAGCGUUGUCCGGAAUUACUGGGCGUAAAGAGCUCGUAGGUGGUUUGUCGCGUUGUUCGUGAAAACUCACAGCUUAACUGUGGGCGUGCGGGCGAUACGGGCAGACUAGAGUACUGCAGGGGAGACUGGAAUUCCUGGU